UACAGUUUCUACAAAGAAUGUUUACUACCGGAAAUUGUGAACCCGCAGUAUGGAAAGAGACUUUUGGUUACCGAUAUUAAAGAACCGGCUCAUAUACUUAACAAUAUAAAGAAUAAAAAACAAAAAAGUGGGGUGAAGUAGAGUAGCUGAUGACGGGAAAAUUAAACAUUUAUUCCACCAAAAACAGAUUUUCCAAUCUCAGUAUGAUUCAUUGCUCCAGUUGCAAGAUCGGUCAAUGGAAUCAAACCAGCAUAUAAUUUGGUCUGUUUUUUCCACUCGUUUAGUUACAUUACAGUUUGAAACACUACUGCACCGGAAGGAGAGUCAAGAUUUUUUGCUGCCAACCAACAGGCAGUUACAUUACUAAUACAAUGUGUUGAUUUAUGUGGUGUCACUACGUUGUAGUAACUAUACAUUUGGGAAAUGUGUAAAUAAUCUAAAUUUGAA